rnacentral:rRNA from 1 species
UCACACCCGUUCCCAUACCGAACACGGAAGUUAAGCUCUCUAGCGCCGAUGGUAGUUGGGACCUUGUCCCUGUGAGAGUAGGACGUUGCCAGGC